GAGCUAUUCUUUUUAGACGUCUUCGGGCACUUUCUAACCCAUUGUUUACCACACAUAGUUGCCAUGGCGCCAGCSCCAGUGGAUCAAAACCCUUGAAUCAUUGCAGCUGAGUACUAUAUAAUAGUUAAAACUUUCAACAACGGAACUCUUGGUUCUGRCAUCGAUGAAGAACGCAGCGAAAUGCGAUAAGUAAUGUGAAUUGCAGAAUUCAGUGAAUCAUCGAAUCUUUGAACGCACAAUGCGCCCACUGGUAUUCCGGGGGGCAAGCCAGUUCGAGCGUCAUUACAACCCUCAAGCUCAGCACGGUAUUGGGCUCGCCCAGUAGGGCUUGCCUAAAAUCAGUGGCGGCCACCGUCCGACCUUCAGCGCAGUAAUACUCGUARCUGAAAGGGAAGGCAGGCGACCCCGUYAUUACAACCCCCAAAUUUACAAGGUUGACCUCGGAACAGGUGGGGUACCCGCUGAACUUAAGCAUAUCGAACAGCWGAAGCGAUAUC
rnacentral:rRNA from 1 species